rnacentral:rRNA from 1 species
CCUACGGGUGGCAGCAGUGGGGAAUAUUGCGCAAUGGGCGAAAGCCUGACGCAGCGACGCCGCGUGAGGGAUGAAGGUCUUCGGAUCGUAAACCUCUGUCAGCAGGGAAGAACGGUCACUGUGCUAAUCAGCAGUGAAUUGACGGUACCUGCAAAGGAAGCACCGGCUAACUCCGUGCCAGCAGCCGCGGUAAUCCGGAGGGUGGGAGCGUUACACGGAAUUACUGGGAGUAAAGCGCUCGUGGGCGGUAGGUCAAGUCAAGGGGGAAAUCCCCGGGGUCAACGUGGGAAUUGCCGUUGAAACUGGCAAACUGGAGUGUGUGAGAGGAGAGUGGAAUUCCAGGUGUAGGAGUGAAAUCCGUAGAUAUCUGGAGGAACAUCAGUGGCGAAGGCGACUAUCUGGCACAUAACUGACGCUGAGGAGCGAAAGCGUGGGUAGCAAACAGGAUUAGAUACCCUAGUAGUC